rnacentral:sRNA from 1 species
GCUGGGUACAGUAGUGCAUGCCUGUAAUCCCAGAAGCUGGGGAGGCUGAGGCAGGAGGAUCAUGUGUUCAAAAGCAGCCUCAACAACUUAGUGAGGCCCUGAACAACUCAGUGAGACCCUGUCUCAA